GACGAACGCUGGCGGCGUGCUUAACACAUGCGAGUCGAACGGUGAAGGGACCAGCUUGCUGGUUCUGGAUGAGUGGCGAACGGGUGAGUAACACGUGAGUAACCUGCCCCCUUCUUCUGGAUAACCGCAUGAAAGUGUGGCUAAUACGGGAUAUUCUGGGUCUGUCGCAUGGCGGGCCCGGGAAAGAUAUUGCUUCGGUGGGGGAUGGGCUCGCGGCCUAUCAGCUUGUUGGUGGGGUGAUGGCCUACCAAGGCGGUGACGGGUAGCCGGCCUGAGAGGGUGGACGGUCACACUGGGACUGAGACACGGCCCAGACUCCUACGGGAGGCAGCAGUGGGGAAUAUUGCACAAUGGGCGCAAGCCUGAUGCAGCGACGCCGCGUGAGGGAUGGAGGCCUUCGGGUUGUAAACCUCUUUCGCCAGUGAAGCAGGCCUGCUCCUUGUGGGUGGGUUGACGGUAGCUGGAUAAGAAGCGCCGGCUAACUACGUG
rnacentral:rRNA from 1 species